UACGUAGGGCGCGAGCGUUGUCCGGAAUUAUUGGGCGUAAAGAGCUCGUAGGCGGCCUGUCGCGUCAAUUGCGAAAGCCCGGGGCUUAACCCCGGGUCUGCAGUCGAUACGGGCAGGCUAGAGUGUGGUAGGGGAGAUCGGAAUUCCUGGUGUAGCGGUGAAAUGCGCAGAUAUCAGGAGGAACACCGGUGGCGAAGGCGGGUCUCUGGGCCGAUACUGACGCUGAGGAGCGAAAGCGUGGGGAGCGAACAGG
rnacentral:rRNA from 1 species